UUUAAGGUACGACCAAACUAUUUUUACCCUCGUUACCACCAACUCUCAUUGUCAACGACUCGAUCCAAGUCACAAACAUGGACCAUUUAUCCGGAUCAAGCACUAAUAGUGCUGGUAUAAUCGGAGGAGUGGCUGUAUCAGCUUGUCUCAUUCUUUCAGUCAUCAUAGGGAUACUUUUUUAUAAGCAUUACCGUUGUAACAUGAAAAGCAAACCAUCUGAAGUUUAUCAACAAUCUAAACAGCAUUCUAAGGAUUACAGUCAGUCAGAUGAUCCUUUAGAUGUAGAUGUCGACGAUUGUCCGGUCCAUGGUGGUAUAAAGUAUAAUAUUACAAGCUCCAUUGAUACAAAAGACCAUAAUAUUCAUUCAGUUCCUUAUUCGGUAGACAGUCACUAUAGAGGAGGCGUUCAUUUACAUUCAGCCUACUCUGAAGUGCAGAAUACAUCGUGUUUUUAUAAUGAAUAUCGUUUUUCAAACCGUAACAAAUCAGCAACAUUAGAUUCGGAGCUUGAAAAGCAAAUAAUUAACAUUAAUUUUAAAUAGAAUCUCAGUCCUAUACAGAACAUUCUAUAUACUAGUGGUAUAAUGACAAUUUUGUGUAUGUCAAUGUUAAUAUUAUCAUAAAAUGCAUUUGAUUAUAUAUUUUUCACAGAGGCUUUCAGAUCUUAAAUCUUGUAUGUUUAUAUUUGAUAAAUUAAUUGUUUGAUUUAUAUAAAAAAAAUGUGCAAACCACUCUGUAUGUUUUGACCAGACUGUUGGCAUUGAAUCAUCUUGAAAUGGAAAAUUUUCAACUUUACAUAAACAAAUGUUUUAACUGUU